rnacentral:lncRNA from 1 species
UAGGGGUCUAGAAGACAAGAAAGAAAAUGUAUCAAACUCGUAAACUCUGAUGUAAUAGUGAGAUUGUAUUUUGGAAGUAAAAAUGUAAACUGAAACUGUGAUGUAAAAAAAAAGUGGUUGUAAAAUGAAUGCUUGUAAUAGCAAGUAGAUUAUGUAUUUGAUACUUCCUUAUGCAAUCUGGAUUGAUAUCCGUUUCUUGUUGGAACAUUCAUUGAUUGUUUGGAUUGCGACGCCUUGGA